AGACGCAGAAGCUAAUUCGCCU
rnacentral:misc_RNA from 1 species